AUUGAACGCUGGCGGCAUGCCUUACACAUGCAAGUCGAACGGUAACAGGUCUUCGGACGCUGACGAGUGGCGAACGGGUGAGUAAUACAUCGGAACGUGCCCAGUCGUGGGGGAUAACUACUCGAAAGAGUAGCUAAUACCGCAUACGAUCUGAGGAUGAAAGCGGGGGACCUUCGGGCCUCGCGCGAUUGGAGCGGCCGAUGGCAGAUUAGGUAGUUGGUGGGAUAAAAGCUUACCAAGCCGACGAUCUGUAGCUGGUCUGAGAGGACGACCAGCCACACUGGGACUGAGACACGGCCCAGACUCCUACGGGAGGCAGCAGUGGGGAAUUUUGGACAAUGGGCGAAAGCCUGAUCCAGCAAUGCCGCGUGCAGGAUGAAGGCCUUCGGGUUGUAAACUGCUUUUGUACGGAACGAAAAAGCUUCUCCUAAUACGAGAGGCCCAUGACGGUACCGUAAGAAUAAGCACCGGCUAACUACGUGCCAGCAGCCGCCGUAA
rnacentral:rRNA from 1 species